AUAAAAGCAAUGAAGAGGAAUAGUAGGUGGUAGCGUUCUUUCAAGAGAGAAGCUGGUUUGGUGAAAAGCUUUAUGAAUGUACUGUUGAACCAGCCUUGGAGCUCUGUACCGAAACUUUAGUAGGCUACAGCGGAAGCAAUCCGUUAACUGAUUGAGAGAGAAUAUAAUGCGUAAGUUUUAGCAUUGUAUUAACUAGGGUGGUAACGCCGGAACUUAUACCUCGGUCCCUUUU
rnacentral:ncRNA from 1 species